rnacentral:rRNA from 1 species
CCUACGGGCGGCUGCAGUGGGGAAUAUUGCACAAUGGGCGCAAGCCUGAUGCAGCCAUGCCGCGUGUGUGGAGAAGGCCUUCGGGUUGUAAAGCACUUUCAGCGGGGAGGAAGGCGGUGAGGUUAAUAACCUCAUCGAUUGACGUUACCCGCAGAAGAAGCACCGGCUAACUCCGUGCCAGCAGCCGCGGUAAUACGGAGGGUGCAAGCGUUAAUCGGAAUUACUGGGCGUAAAGCGCACGCAGGCGGUCUGUCAAGUCGGAUGUGAAAUCCCCGGGCUCAACCUGGGAACUGCAUUCGAAACUGGCAGGCUAGAGUCUUGUAGAGGGGGGUAGGAUUCCAGGUGUAGCGGUGAAAUGCGUAGAGAUCUGGAGGAAUACCGGUGGCGAAGGCGGCCCCCUGGACAAAGACUGACGCUCAGGUGCGAAAGCGUGGGGAGCAAACAGGAUUAGAUACCCCAGUAGUC